CUCUCGGCAACGGAUAUCUAGGCUCUCGCAUCGAUGAAGAACGUAGCGAAAUGCGAUACUUGGUGUGAAUUGCAGAAUCCCGCGAAUCAUCGAGUUUUUGAACGCAAGUUGCGCCCGAAGCCACUCGGCCGAGGGCACGUCUGCCUGGGCGUCACGCACCGUCGC
rnacentral:rRNA from 1 species